rnacentral:rRNA from 1 species
UACGUAGGGUGCAAGCGUUGUCCGGAAUUAUUGGGCGUAAAGAGCGUGUAGGCGGCCAUGUAGGUCCGUUGUGAAAACUCGAGGCUCAACCUCGAGACGCCGAUGGAAACCAUGUGGCUAGAGUCCGGAAGAGGAGAGUGGAAUUCCUGGUGUAGCGGUGAAAUGCGCAGAUAUCAGGAGGAACACCGGUGGCGAAGGCGGGUCUCUGGGGCCGAUACUGACGCUGAGGAGCGAAAGCGUGGGGAGCGAACAGG